rnacentral:rRNA from 1 species
UACGUAGGGUGCGAGCGUUAAUCGGAAUUACUGGGCGUAAAGCAUGCGCAGGCGGUUAUGUAAGACAGGUGUGAAAUCCCCGGGCUUAACCUGGGAACUGCAUUUGUGACUGCAUAGCUAGAGUACGGUAGAGGGGGAUGGAAUUCCGCGUGUAGCAGUGAAAUGCGUAGAUAUGCGGAGGAACACCGAUGGCGAAGGCAAUCCCCUGGACCUGUACUGACGCUCAUGCACGAAAGCGUGGGGAGCAAACAGG